rnacentral:rRNA from 1 species
UUACCAUGCAGUCGAACGAUGAAGCCCAGCUUGCUGGGUGGAUUAGUGGCGAACGGGUGAGUAACACGUGAGUAACCUGCCCUUAACUCUGGGAUAAGCCUGGGAAACUGGGUCUAAUACCGGAUAGGAGCGUCCACCGCAUGGUGGGUGUUGGAAAGAUUUAUCGGUUUUGGAUGGACUCGCGGCCUAUCAGCUUGUUGGUGAGGUAAUGGCUCACCAAGGGGAACACGGGUAGCCGGCCUGAGAGGGUGACCGGCCACACUGGGACUGAGACACGGCCCAGACUCCUACGGGAGGCAGCAGUGGGGAAUAUUGCACAAUGGGCGCAAGCCUGAUGCAGCGACGCCCGUGAGGGAUGACGGCCUUCGGGUUGUAAACCUCUUUCAGUAGGGAAGAAGCGAAAGUGACGGUACCUGCAGAAGAAGCACCGGCUAACUACGUGCCAGCAGCCGCGGUAAUACGUAGGGUGCGAGCGUUAUCCGGAAUUAUUGGGCGUAAAGAGCUCGUACGCGGUUUGCCGCGUCUGUCGUGAAAGUCCGGGGCUUAACGCCGGAUCUGCGGUGGGUACGGGCAGACUAUGAGUGCAGUAGGGGAGACUGGAAUUCCUGGUGUAGCGGUGGAAUGCGCAGAUAUCAGGAGGAACACCGAUGCAAAGCAGGUCUCUGGGCUGUAACUGACGCUGAGAGCGAAAGCAUGGGAGCGAACAGGAUUAGAUACCCUGGUAGUCCAUGCCGUAACGUGGGCACUAGUGUGGGACCAUUCCACGAUUCGCGCGCACCUACGCAUACUGCCGACCUGGGAGUACGGCGCAGCUAACUCAAGAAUGGACGGUGCC